rnacentral:lncRNA from 1 species
AUGUGCUGCAGGGUGUCGGGGAAACUGAGGCACGGAGCUACAGCUGGGCCACGAGGAGGGCUGCGGCUCCCCGGGGACAUCCCGCAGCGGAGUUCAAGGCUCAGCGGGUCGAUAUCCAGAUGGAGAGGGCAGACAGGCGGGGCUGCGGGGACGCAGAACGGGGCUGCGGGGCAAGGCUGGAGGGCAGCGGUGUCGGGGUGCACAGCAGGGCUUUGGGGUGCAAAACAGGGCUGUGGGGGUGCUAAGCAGGGUUCUGGGGGUGAACAACAGGGCUAUUGGGGUGCACAACAGGGCUCUGGGGUGCGAAAUAGGGCCGUGAGGGUGCAAAACAGGGUUGGGGGUGCACAACAGGGCUCUGGGGUGCACAAUAGGGCUGCAGACCUGGGGGUCGCGGGGCUGCUGGCUCGGCCAGGUCUGGCCAGGCUCGUCGGGGGGUCCGGGGGGGCCCGGCAGUGGUGGCGGUGGCGUGGACAGGCUGACCCACGGGUUGAAGGUCAGGGCUCUGUGCUCAGACCCCUUUUCAGAUUCAAAUGGGCUCCUGGGGGCUUUGUGCGCGGGGUCAGGCUUCACCGAGAGCCGCAUGAAAGGGCCGGGGCGGCCGGGGCGGCUUUCAAGUCCCUGGGUGCCGGGGACGGGGCGGGGGGGGGAGCCCAGACGGAGGCGCCACCACCCCAAUCCUGGCUGCGGAGACCCCCCCAAAAACCUGGGCACACCCUGGGCCUCUGCCAAGGCGCUGCCACCUGCCACCGGGCUGCUGGCACGGCACGGCACAGUGCAGCGUGGCACGGCACGGCACGGCACAGGACAGCUUGGCACCCCGCAGCACCGACAGCAAAGCCCUGGGCACCCCAGGAAGCAGCUGUAGGGUGCAGGCUCCCACCCCACAGCACGGCACGGCCGCCCCGGCUCCCUUUGUCCUUCGCCUCCCCGAGCAGCUCGCACGCCCUCGGCACGCACGCACAUGCCCGCACACAGGAUCCGGCCCCGGGAACGCGGCGAUAA